CCUCAGGUACAGCAGGAUUUUGAACUGUCUGCUCAUUUGCCUGCACAUCAGUGGAGGAGGUGGCCAAAAGCUUGCUGGCCCCAGGGCUGCUGAGCUAAUGUCCUGAUUCAGCUAUUGACAACUGACUCUUCUUCUGUCUGCGCUGGACAUGAACCCAUGUGGUAGCAAUGAUGGGAGAUUACUGAAGGGAGGAAGAAAAAAAAAAAGAGAGAGACCAGUGUAAGCCAUGCCAAGAAGUCCAGAGUGAACACAGCCUCAGCCUAGUAACGUACAGCUGUCAAGUCACAUUACGCUGUUCCCCACGCCCCUCUUUGGGAAAGACUCUGCCCUGGGAAAGCCUCGUGCACCGUUCGCCCAGGAGUGCAAACCAUGCUGCCAUUGAGAGACAGGACUCGGCCGGCAACCUGCAGCUCCCCGGGACAGAGGGAGCGUCGGCGUGGCGUCGCUGCCUUCUCCUGCCCAACGGGGUCAAUGGGAAGCUGCUCCCGGUUCUUGUCUCAGCCACAUGGAUUUAACGAAUAAUGCUUUGUGCAAGCAACGCAUGGCGCGUUUCCAAUGCAGCCAGGCCAGCACGCGGAGGGCAUCUGCGGCUACGUGGCAGGGGAUCAGAGCUCUUCUCCAGCAGAUCCCGAGAGAGACCGGCCAACCUGUAACUCUCCACUUAGCAACAAGGUACUGGCAAUCUGUCCAGAGGAUUGCAUCCCAUCAAAUCCAUGCAAAUCCUCCAGUGCAAGAUGCACUUUGCUCUGCAGAGCUCUGCCAUAUGGCUGAAGAAUAAGCCAUAAAGGGACAUUGGUCUUUGAACUGAGGGCCAGGUCUUGGAGGUACUCAGAUCUGGUGGCUGGUCCCCAGAUUUUCUGACUGAUCUUGCCAAAUCAUGGGAGUAAAGAAAUGUGGAUUUUUAUCUCAGUUUCCCUAUGGAUUUUCUGUCUGACCACGGGGUGGUUGCUUAGAGCCUGACUUUGAAAAGACACAUGUAGUUUGCACAGAAAGUGGCAAUUACCUGAAGCACCGGUAACUACGCUGGUGGUACACCCACAGACGCGGCAGGGCCUUAGGGACCGCUGCACUCUGGUCUGGACAGGAGAGCAGAGAAGCAGUCCUAAAAUCACUUUUAGUGAACUGCAGUUUUGGUGGAGUGUAAAAGAUGCGAGGUUUUACUCCCAGGCGCUGGCAUCUCAGAGCCCUGCCUUUGCGUUUUGCUGGAUGAGGGAUUUGAGCGUGUGGGGGAAAAGCCCACGGCCAUCUCCGAAGCCCGCGAGCUGUGACUGGGCCAGAGCUUCCUCCGGUCUCUCACUGUGCAGAGAGGUGCCACUGAGCUGUAAUGAACCGUAUUGCACAGCACCUCCCUUUUCAGGAUUUUAAAGGGCUCAGCAUCCUGCAAAACAAAAAUUCCCACGUUGAGCAUGAAGCAAGCAGAGCAGCUCAGCGCGUGCGGCUCAGCUGGCGAGGGACAGCAGAGGCUGCCGGAGCAGACCAGCGUGUUAGAGAAUGACAAAUUGGGGAAACCUUUGCGGGCUGAAACUUCUCAAGAGCUGAAAACUGGAGAGAAACCAGGGGGCACGCUGAGAAAAUGCUGAGGGACUAUUUCCCUUUUAUUCUGAAGGCAUGUGUUUUCAGCCCUUUGUUUCCAACACGUUUUCCUUACCUCGGUUACAGGGGCCUGGUUUUUUAUAGGAAUGUCAGAUUCUAAGCCCAGUUAAUAACAAGCAUUUUCUUUCCAACAACACAGCUGUUUUUUUUUUUUUUUUUCCUUCCAUCUGUGUUACGUUAUUAGG
ensembl:lncRNA